UACGAAGGGGGCUAGCGUUGCUCGGAAUCACUGGGCGUAAAGCGCACGUAGGCGGCUUUUUAAGUCAGGGGUGAAAUCCUGGAGCUCAACUCCAGAACUGCCUUUGAUACUGAGAAGCUUGAGUCCGGGAGAGGUGAGUGGAACUGCGAGUGUAGAGGUGAAAUUCGUAGAUAUUCGCAAGAACACCAGUGGCGAAGGCGACUUACUGGACACAUAUUGACGCUGAGGUGCGAAAGCGUGGGGAGCAAACAGG
rnacentral:rRNA from 1 species